AUUAUCUAAUUAAAAAUUAAAUAAAAAAAAAUAUAGCCAAUCAUAAAUUCACAUUUGAAACAUGGGUACCUCAUAUUCAGAAGAACGCUUUUUUAAAAAGGGACGACUCUCUCUUUUCUGGUUCAUCUCUCCUGCUUUUGUAAUUCUUUAUUAAUUAGAACAUGAGAAAUUGAGUGGAAGAGACCACCGAUGCGUGUGCUCUCAGGUCGCAAAUCUAAAAAUAUUAUUAAUAUAGACCGAAUAAAGACCCGAAUCAAA
rnacentral:lncRNA from 1 species